rnacentral:rRNA from 1 species
UUGGAGGGCAAGUCUGGUGCCAGCAGCCGCGGCAAUUCCAGCUCCAAUAGCGUAUAUUAAAGUUGUUGCAGUUAAAAAGCUCGUAGUUGAAUUUCGGGGUUCUACCGUUGGUCGGGCAAUAGUCUGUACUAGCGUGUGGAAUUUCUACCUUCUGGGGAACCAUCAUGUUAUUAAUUUAGCGUGGUGGGAAACCAGGACCUUUAUCUUGAAAAAAUUAGAGUGUUCAAAGCAGGCUUACGUCUGAAUACAUUAGCAUGGAAUAAUAAAAUAGGACGGUGGUCCUGUUUUGUUGGUUUCUGAAUCACCAUAAUGAUUAAUAGGGAUAGUUGGGGGCAUUAGUAUUCAAUUGUCAGAGGUGAAAUUCUUGGAUUUAUUGAAGACUAACUACUGCGAAAGCAUUUGCCAAGGAUGUUUUCAUUAAUCAGGAACGAAAGUUAGGGGAUCGAAGACGAUCAGAUACCGUCGUAGUCUUAACCAUAAACUAUGCCGACUAGGGAUCGGAUGAUGUUAAUUUUUUAAUGACUCAUUCGGCGCCUUACGGGAAAC